CUACGGGCGGCACCAGUGAGGAAUAUUGCACAAUGGGGGGAACCCUGAUGCAGCAACGCCGCGUGGAGGAUGACGCAUUUCGGUGUGUAAACUCCUUUUAUAUGUCAAGAAAAUGACGGUAGCAUAUGAAUAAGCACCGGCUAACUCCGUGCCAGCAGCCGCGGUAAUACGGAGGGUGCAAGCGUUACUCGGAAUCACUGGGCGUAAAGGACGCGUAGGCGGGUUGGAAAGUCAGGUGUGAAAUCCUACAGCUUAACUGUAGAACUGCACUUGAAACUUCUAAUCUAGAGUAUGGGAGGGGGAGAUGGAAUUGGUGGUGUAGGGGUAAAAUCCGUAGAUAUCACUAGGAAUACCUAAAGCGAAGGCGAUCUCCUGGAACAUUACUGACGCUAAGGCGUGAAAGCGUGGGGAGCAAACAGGAUUAGAUACCCCCGUAGUC
rnacentral:rRNA from 1 species